ACCCUUUAAUGUUUGAUGUUCUAACGUGGACCCGUUACCCGGGUUGCGGACAGUGUCUGGUGGGUAGUUUGACUGGGGCGGUCUCCUCCUAAAGAGUAACGGAGGAGCACGAAGGUUGGCUAAUCCUGGUCGGACAUCAGGAGGUUAGUGCAAUGGCAUAAGCCAGCUUGACUGCGAGCGUGACGGCGCGAGCAGGUGCGAAAGCAGGUCAUAGUGAUCCGGUGGUUCUGAAUGGAAGGGCCAUCGCUCAACGGAUAAAAGGUACUCCGGGGAUAACAGGCUGAUACCGCCCAAGAGUUCAUAUCGACGGCGGUGUUUGGCACCUCGAUGUCGGCUCAUCACAUCCUGGGGCUGAAGUAGGUCCCAAGGGUAUGGCUGUUCGCCAUUUAAAGUGGUACGCGAGCUGGGUUUAGAACGUCGUGAGACAGUUCGGUCCCUAUCUGCCGUGGGCGCUGGAGAACUGAGGGGGGCUGCUCCUAGUACGAGAGGACCGGAGUGGACGCAUCACUGGUGUUCGGGUUGUCAUGCCAAUGGCACUGCCCGGUAGCUAAAUGCGGAAGAGAUAAGUGCUGAAAGCAUCUAAGCACGAAACUUGCCCCGAGAUGAGUUCUCCCUGAGACUUAAAGUCUCCUGAAGGAACGUUGAAGACGACGACGUUGAUAGGCCGGGUGUGUAAGCGCAGCGAUGCGUUGAGCUAACCGGUACUAAUGAACCGUGAGGCUUAACCUUACAACGCCG
rnacentral:rRNA from 1 species